rnacentral:rRNA from 1 species
CUACGGGAGGCAGCAGUGGGGAAUUUUGCGCAAUGGAGGCAACUCUGACGCAGCAACGCCGCGUGCGGGAUGAAGGCCCUCGGGUUGUAAACCGCUUUCAGCAGGGAAGACUUCGACUGUACCUGCAGAAGAAGCCCCGGCUAACUACGUGCCAGCAGCCGCGGUAAUACGUAGGGGGCGAGCGUUAUCCGGAUUCAUUGGGCGUAAAGCGCGCGUAGGCGGCUCGCCAAGCGGGAUCUCAAACCUGAGGGCUCAACCCCCAGCAGGAUCCCGGACUGGCGGGCUCGAGUUCGGUAGGGGAAGGCGGAACUCCCAGUGUAGCGGUGAAAUGCGCAGAUAUUGGGAGGAACACCGAUGGCGAAGGCAGCCUUCUGGGCCGUAACUGACGCUGAGGUGCGAAAGCUAGGGGAGCGAACAGGAUUAGAAACCCUGGUAGUCC